GACGUAGGGUGCGAGCGUUUGUCCGGAUUUAUUGGGCGUAAAGAGCUCGUAGGCGGCUCGUCGCGUCGACCGUGAAAACUUGGGGCUUAACCCUAAGCUUGCGGUUGAUACGGGCGGGCUAGAGUUCGGUAGGGGAGACUGGAAUUCCUGGUGUAGCGGUGAAAUGCGCAGAUAUCAGGAGGAACACCGGUGGCGAAGGCGGGUCUCUGGGCAUUAACUGACGCUGAGGAGCGAAAAGCAUGGGGAGCGAACAGG
rnacentral:rRNA from 1 species